rnacentral:rRNA from 1 species
GACGAACGCUGGCGGCGUGCUUAACACAUGCAAGUCGAACGGAAAGGCCCUGCUUUUGUGGGGUGCUCGAGUGGCGAACGGGUGAGUAACACGUGAGUAACCUGCCCUUGACUUUGGGAUAACUUCAGGAAACUGGGGCUAAUACCGGAUAGGAGCUCCUGCUGCAUGGUGGGGGUUGGAAAGUUUCGGCGGUUGGGGAUGGACUCGCGGCUUAUCAGCUUGUUGGUGGGGUAGUGGCUUACCAAGGCUUGGACGGGUAGCCGGCCUGAGAGGGUGACCGGCCCCAUGGGACUAGGGGACGGCCCAGGAUCCCAUCGGGCGCAAUGGGCGGGAAUUUUGCCAAAUAGGGCGGAGUCCUGUGCCACGACCUCCGGGUCGGGAAUAUCGGCUUUUGGGUAAUAACCACUUUCUCCUUUAACAUAACCGUAUUGACGGUAAUGGGUAAAGAAGCACCGGCUAACUACGUG